AUUGAACGCAGGCGGCAUGCUUUACACAUGCAAGUCGAACGGUAACAGGCCGCAAGGUGCUGACGAGUGGCGAACGGGUGAGUAAUGCAUCGGAACGUGCCCAGUCGUGGGGGAUAACGCAGCGAAAGCUGCGCUAAUACCGCAUACGAUCUAUGGAUGAAAGCGGGGGACCGUAAGGCCUCGCGCGAUUGGAGCGGCCGAUGUCAGAUUAGGUAGUUGGGGGGGUAAAGGCUCACCAAGCCAACGAUCUGUAGCUGGUCUGAGAGGACGACCAGCCACACUGGGACUGAGACACGGCCCAGACUCCUACGGGAGGCAGCAGUGGGGAAUUUUGGACAAUGGGCGCAAGCCCGAUCCAGCAAUGCCGCGUGCAGGAAGAAGGCCUUCGGGUUGUAAACUGCUUUUGUACGGAACGAAACGGCUCUGGUUAAUACCUGGGGCUAAUGACGGUACCGUAAGAAUAAGCACCGGCUAACUACGUGCCAGCAGCCGCCGUAAGAC
rnacentral:rRNA from 1 species